UACGUAGGGUGCAAGCGUUAAUCGGAAUUACUGGGCGCAAAGCGUGCGUAGGCGGUUUUGUAAGUCUGUCGUGAAAGCCCCGGGCUCAACCUGGGAAUUGCGAUGGAGACUGCAAGGCUUGAAUCUGGCAGAGGGGGGUAGAAUUCCACGUGUAGCAGUGAAAUGCGUAGAGAUGUGGAGGAACACCGAUGGCGAAGGCAGCCCCCUGGGUCAAGAUUGACGCUCAUGCACGAAAGCGUGGGGAGCAAACAGG
rnacentral:rRNA from 1 species